rnacentral:rRNA from 1 species
UAGUAACGGCGAGCGAAGGAGGAAAAGCCCAGCACCGAAUCCUUCACCAUACCGGUGACAGGAAAUGUGGUGUUUAGGCCGUACUUUGUCCUGAUACGUCUCUCCUCAAGUCCACUUGAUUGUGGCCCUCGGCCCAGAGAGGGUGUAAGGCCCGUGGAGGCGAGAUGUUCAGUACCUGGUGCGUCCUUAGAGUCGGGUUGUUUGGGAAUGCAGCCCUAAGCGGGUGGUAAACUCCAUCCAAGGCUAAAUACCAGCACGAGUCCGAUAGCGAAGAAGUACCGCGAGGGAAGGUUGAAAAGAACUUUGAAGAGAGAGUUCAAGAGUACGUGAAACCGCUGAGAGGCAAACUGGUGGAACUGAAAUGGUCUCGAGGAAUUCAGCCGUUGGUGUUUGUACAGCCGGUGUCGUCUGAUUUAACGACAGCUUCAUCGGUUGACGCUUACGUCAUCGGUGCACUUUCCUCGUUGUGGACCCGACCACGACCGGUGAGCUGCUCUGUCCAUCGUGCUUGGAAGGUAGCGCCGUCUUCGGAAGGCGUGUUAUAGACUUGCGCAUGGAGCAGUACGGCACACUGGACGAUAGUGCCUGCCCAUUGGGCUCAUAUGGUGGUUGUUUUAUUGGCGAGUUCCGAUGUCACUACUUCGGUAGAGGCAUUGGUCUCUGUCAGCAUUAUGACUGUCCGCUAUGAUUGGCGCUGGUAAGUCUGUGGUUGUGAAGUAGGUAGUCCACCUGACCCGUCUUGAAACACGGACCAAGGAGUCUAACAUGUGCGCGAGUCAUUGGGUUCGCGAAACCUAAAGGCGAAGUGAAGGUAAAGAUCUGUUUUGGCAGAUUGAGGUGGGAUGCUGGGUUACGCGCCCAGCCGCACUACCGGCCCGUUCUACAUGUAUCUCAUGGGGGCGGAGCAANAGCGNACACGUUGGGACCCGAAAGAUGGUGAACUAUGCUUGCGCAGGU